rnacentral:rRNA from 1 species
CAAUAGCGUAUAUUAAAGUUGUUGCAGUUAAAAAGCUCGUAGUUGGAUUUCUGGUGGGCGCGACCGGUCCGCCCCGCAAGGGGUGAGCACUGGCGUCGCCGUCCGCCAUCCUUGGGGAGAGCGCGCCUGGCAUUCAGUUGUCGGGUGUGGGAUCCCCAUCGUUUACUGUGAGAAAAUUAGAGUGUUCAAAGCAGGCUUACGCCUUGAAUACAUUAGCAUGGAAUAAUAGUCGAGGCUCUUGGUCUGACUUGUUGGUUUGCAGCCCGAGAGAAUGAUUCAAUAGGGAUAGUUGGGGGUAUUCGUAUUCAAUUGUCAGAGGUGAAAUUCUUGGAUUUAUGGAAGACGAACUACUGCGAAAGCAUUUACCAAGGAUGUUUUCAUUAAUCAAGAACGAAAGUUAGGGGAUCGAAGAUGAUCAGAUACCGU